UGUUCCUACGGGACGCAGCAGUGGGGAAUAUUGCACAAUGGGGGAAACUCUGACGCAGUGACGCCGCGUAUAGGAAGAAGGUUUUCGGAUUGUAAACUAUUGUCGUUAGGGAAGAUAAAAGACUGUACCUAAGGAGGAAGCCCCGGCUAACUAUGUGCCAGCAGCCGCGGUAAUACAUAGGGGGCAAGCGUUAUCCGGAAUUAUUGGGUGUAAAGGGUGCGUAGACGGAAGAACAAGUUGGUUGUGAAAUCCCUCGGCUCAACUGAGGAACUGCAACCAAAACUAUUCUCCUUG
rnacentral:rRNA from 1 species